ensembl:lncRNA
GCAAAAAAGUGGGUUUAAGAGACAAGCAGGUCAGGUAGGGCCGCUCUGUUUCCUCACAUGUAGAUGCUUCCACAGUCCAAAGUCCCGCACUUGAGGACAAAUGAAAGGAAAAACAGGAAUAAACUGCAUGGGUAAGAUGAUGAGUCCCAGAGUACUUUAAUGGGGUUUGGCUCUGAUUCCAAAGUUCCUGGAAGUCUAGCGGAGGGAGAACGAGGAUCACUCUCAUGAAAGACAUUCCCUCAUUUGGUGCUUUGAUGGAUGGUGGUAGACAGCGCUGUCUGACGCAUCAGGCUAAAAUCUCCCAUGGACAUUCAGCUGGGUUGCAUAAGAUCCACAUCAUAUUAAUGCUCAUCAAACCAUUCGGUGACUCCUCGUGCAAUAUUGAUGGGGCCAUUGUCAUCCUGGAAGAGACCACUUCCUACAGGGUAGGGAUGUUUCAUAAUGGGAUGAAAGUAAUCAAUCAGGGCAAUUUACUUAAUUUUUUAAUUUUAUUUUAUUUUUUACAAUAACCCUUCAUUUUAAGGAGACUAUCUGACCCAAACCAUGCAAACAAAAUUCCCAGAUCCUCCAGUUUCCCACACAGAUGGAGCAGAGGAUCCUGUUUUUCCCUUUCAUUAUUCACCUUUCUAUAUGCAAUGACUAACUGGUGAUUUUAAAGUAGCUCUAGGUGCAAAUGAAUGACCAUGAAUUGUUGUCUCUCUCUGUCAACCCUGUAAUGGACUGGUGACCUGUUUGUACUGUACUGCCACCUUUUCCCAAAAGUCGGCCGUCAGCUUUGCAACCCUUUAAAAGAUUAGUCAGUGGCAGUUACUGAAAUUAUUUGCUUUACUACUGACAACAGAAGAGUCAACCACCAUGCUGGCGUCUCUGUGAGACUUUGAGCUAAAUGCUAACACAAGCUAGCUCAUAAUAAUAACGGUAACACUCUGAUGCUGAGCAGGAACAGCACAAUGUUUAACAUGCUAAUGUCUGCAAAUUGGCACUAGACAGAAAGCAAAGCAUUGAACCAAAGCAUCAGAGAAAAUAAAAUAUGGAUGAUGGUGGUUCUACACGAUGGAGUGGGGCUCAGAAUCACAACUGAGAAGUGAAAUAAACAAAAAUAAACAAAAAAUCUGCAUCCCUUGAUAUGAUAAAAUAAAAUAAUCUGCCUCCAUCUCAGCCACGUCUCUCUGACUUUGUCUCCAAAUUGCCCACCUGCCCUCUGAUAGGCUCAUUUCCAAUCUUCACAUCUCUGCCAUACAUCAUACCAGGUCUCUCUAUUAUCUUGUAAACCUUUCCUUUCAGUCUUUGCUGUUAUCGCUCUGUCACAAAUCACCCCUGAUACUCGUCUUCACCUGCUCCACCCUGCCUGGACUCUCUCCUUUGGGUAUCUUGUGCACUGUCUAUCGCUUUAGAUCGUUGAACCCUGGUAUUUAAACUCAUUUACCUUCCCUACCUCUUCUCCUUGCACCCUUCCACCUGUCUCCUUUUCACUCACACAUAUAUUCUGUCUUACUUGACUACUGACUUUCAUUCCUCUUUUCUCCAGUGCAUGCCUCCACCUCUCCAGCAUCUCUUCCACCUGCUCACUAUUCUCACUACAGUUCACAGUGUUGUCUAUAAACAAACAUCAGUCCACAGAAACUCCUGCCUGACCUAAUCUGUCAGCCUGUCCAUUACCAGCAAACAAGAAGGGGCACAGACCAGCUUAAACCCAUGUGCCAGUCCUACUGCACUCCACACCGCUGUCUCGCUGCCCCAUCCUCACCAUCGCCACUUCUGACUUCCUCAUGCAGUACCGCAGUUCCUCUCUUGGCACCCUAUAAUAUGCUUUCUCUAGAUCCACAAAGACAGUGCAGCUUCCUCUGACCUUCUCUAUACUUCUCCAUCAAAACUCUCAAAGCAGACAUCACAUCUGC